rnacentral:tRNA from 1 species
CGCGGGAUGGAGCAGUCUGGUAGCUCGUCGGGCUCAUAACCCGAAGGUCGUCGGUUCAAAUCNCCGCCACACAGUCGCGG